GUAGAUUUCCCUUUGUUUUUCUAGCUUUUUUUUUUCUCAGCGAAUAAUGCAGUUGUAGCUGUAAUAAGGUGCAGCAAGACGGUGCACCACCACACUUCUCCAGGGUCGCAAGAGAUUCCUUAGAUAUUACUUUUGGAAACAGAUGGAUAGGGCGAGCAGGUCCAAUCGAGUGGGCACCUUAUUCUCCCGAUCUAACCAUUCCAGAUUUUUGUAUAUGGGGAUAUGUAAAAGACCGUUGCUACAAUACAACCCCAAGAAAUUUGGAUGAACUGCGCUACAACAUAGUAAACGUUUUCAACCAAAUUACACCGCGAAUGCUAUAAAACGCCUUCGGCAACUUAUUUCUCCGUCCACAUUUGUGUUCCGAGCAAAAUGGGGGUCAUAUUCAGCAACUAAUUUAUUAGUUAUAAAUUAAAAUUAAUUUCUUCAAUUGUUUGUUGUUAAAAUUGUUGUAAAUAGUUGUUUUUAAUACAUAGAAUAAAUACUUUUUAUA